GACGAACGCUGGCGGCGUGCUUAACACAUGCAAGUCGAACGGAAAGGCCCUGCUUUUGUGGGGUGCUCGAGUGGCGAACGGGUGAGUAACACGUGAGUAACCUGCCCUUGACUUUGGGAUAACUUCAGGAAACUGGGGCUAAUACCGGAUAGGAGCUCCUGCUGCAUGGUGGGGGUUGGAAAGUUUCGGCGGUUGGGGAUGGACUCGCGGCUUAUCAGCUUGUUGGUGGGGUAGUGGAUUACCAAGGCUUUGACGGGUAGCCGGCCUGAGAGGGUGACCGGCCACAUUAGGACUGAGAUACGGCACAGACUCCUACGGGAGGCAGAAGUGGGGAAUAUUGCACAAUGGGCGGAAGCCUGAUGCAGCAACGCCGCGUGCGGGAUAACGGCCUUCGGGUUGUAAACCGCUUUCGCCUGUGACGAAGCGUGAGUGACGGUAAUGGGUAAAGAAGCACCGGCUAACUACGUG
rnacentral:rRNA from 1 species